AACUCUGGUAUUGAUUGGUGCUUGCAUCAUGAUUUACAUUUCCGUGAGUGGCGAACUGGUGAGUAACACGUGGGAAACCUGCCCAGAAGCGGGGGAUAACACCUGGAAACAGAUGCUAAUACCGCAUAACAACUUGGACCGCAUGGUCCGAGCUUGAAAGAUGGCUUCGGCUAUCACUUUUGGAUGGUCCCGCGGCGUAUUAGCUAGAUGGUGGGGUAACGGCUCACCAUGGCAAUGAUACGUAGCCGACCUGAGAGGGUAAUCGGCCACAUUGGGACUGAGACACGGCCCAAACUCCUACGGGAGGCAGCAGUAGGGAAUCUUCCACAAUGGACGAAAGUCUGAUGGAGCAACGCCGCGUGAGUGAAGAAGGGUUUCGGCUCGUAAAACUCUGUUGUUAAAGAAGAACAUAUCUGAGAGUAACUGUUCAGGUAUUGACGGUAUUUAACCAGAAAGCCACGGCUAACUACGUGCCAGCAGCCGCGGUAAUACGUAGGUGGCAAGCGUUGUCCGGAUUUAUUGGGCGUAAAGCGAGCGCAGGCGGUUUUUUAAGUCUGAUGUGAAAGCCUUCGGCUCAACCGAAGAAGUGCAUCGGAAACUGGGAAACUUGAGUGCAGAAGAGGACAGUGGAACUCCAUGUGUAGCGGUGAAAUGCGUAGAUAUAUGGAAGAACACCAGUGGCGAAGGCGGCUGUCUGGUCUGUAACUGACGCUGAGGCUCGAAAGUAUGGGUAGCAAACAGGAUUAGAUACCCUGGUAGUCCAUACCGUAAACGAUGAAUGCUAAGUGUUGGAGGGUUUCCGCCCUUCAGUGCUGCAGCUAACGCAUUAAGCAUUCCGCCUGGGGAGUACGGCCGCAAGGCUGAAACUCAAAGGAAUUGACGGGGGCCCGCACAAGCGGUGGAGCAUGUGGUUUAAUUCGAAGCUACGCGAAGAACCUUACCAGGUCUUGACAUACUAUGCAAAUCUAAGAGAUUAGACGUUCCCUUCGGGGACAUGGAUACAGGUGGUGCAUGGUUGUCGUCAGCUCGUGUCGUGAGAUGUUGGGUUAAGUCCCGCAACGAGCGCAACCCUUAUUAUCAGUUGCCAGCAUUAAGUUGGGCACUCUGGUGAGACUGCCGGUGACAAACCGGAGGAAGGUGGGGAUGACGUCAAAUCAUCAUGCCCCUUAUGACCUGGGCUACACACGUGCUACAAUGGAUGGUACAACGAGUUGCGAACUCGCGAGAGUAAGCUAAUCUCUUAAAGCCAUUCUCAGUUCGGAUUGUAGGCUGCAACUCGCCUACAUGAAGUCGGAAUCGCUAGUAAUCGCGGAUCAGCAUGCCGCGGUGAAUACGUUCCCGGGCCUUGUACACACCGCCCGUCACACCAUGAGAGUUUGUAACACCCAAAGUCGGUGG
rnacentral:rRNA from 2 species